rnacentral:sRNA from 1 species
UCCAAGCCGGUGUCUUUGAGAGACGCG